rnacentral:rRNA from 1 species
GGGAAUUUUGGACAAUGGGGGCAACCCUGAUCCAGCCAUGCCGCGUGUGUGAAGAAGGCCUUCGGGUUGUAAAGCACUUUCGGCCGGAACGAAAUCGCGCGGGUUAAUACCCAGCGUGGAUGACGGUACCGGAAGAAGCAGCACCGGCUAACUACGUGCCAGCAGCCGCGGUAAAACGUAGGAGACAAACGUUAUCCGGAGUUACUGGGCGUAAAGGGCGUGCAGGUGGUCUGUUAAGUCUGGCGUGAAAGCUCUCGGCUAAACCGGGAGAGGUCGUUGGAUACUGGCGGACUAGAGGACGGUAGAGGCGUGUGGAAUUCCGGGUGUAGUGGUGAAAUGCGUAGAGAUCCGGAGGAACACCAGUGGCGAAGGCGACACGCUGGGCCGUACCUGACACUAAAACGCGACAGCAUGGGGAGCGAA